rnacentral:rRNA from 1 species
GACGAACGCUGGCGGCGUGCUUAACACAUGCAAGUCGAACGUGAUUUUUGUGGAAAUUCUUUCGGGAAUGGAAAUGAAAUGAAAGUGGCGAACGGGUGAGUAACACGUGAGCAACCUACCUUACACAGGGGGAUAGCCGUUGGAAACGACGAUUAAUACCGCAUGAGACCACAGAAUCGCAUGAUAUAGGGGUCAAAGAUUUAUCGGUGUAAGAAGGGCUCGCGUCUGAUUAGCUAGUUGGAAGGGUAAAGGCCUACCAAGGCGACGAUCAGUAGCCGGUCUGAGAGGAUGAACGGCCACAUUGGAACUGAGACACGGUCCAAACUCCUACGGGAGGCAGCAGUGGGGAAUAUUGCACAAUGGGGGGAACCCUGAUGCAGCGACGCCGCGUGAGCGAAGAAGGUUUUCGAAUCGUAAAGCUCUGUCCUAUGAGAAGAUAAUGACGGUAUCAUA